rnacentral:rRNA from 1 species
CGGAUCGGAGUCUGCAACUCGACUCCGUGAAGCUGGAUUCGCUAGUAAUCGCGCAUCAGCCAUGGCGCGGUGAAUACGUUCCCGGGCCUUGUACACACCGCCCGUCAAGCCAUGGGAGCCGGGGGUACCUGAAGUCCGUAACCGCGAGGAUCGGCCUAGGGUAAAACUGGUGACUGGGGCUAAGUCGUAACAAGGUACC